UACGGAGGGUGCAAGCGUUAUCCGGAUUCACUGGGCUUAAAGGGUGCGUAGGCGGGCAGGCAAGUCCGGGGUGAAAUCUCUGAGCUUAACUCAGAAACUGCCAUGGAUACUAUUUGUCUUGAAUAUUGUGGAGGUAAGCGGAAUAUGUCAUGUAGCGGUGAAAUGCUUAGAUAUGACAUAGAACACCAAUUGCGAAGGCAGCUUACUACACAGUUAUUGACGCUGAGGCACGAAAGCGUGGGGAUCAAACAGG
rnacentral:rRNA from 1 species